rnacentral:ncRNA from 14 species
GUCCCGUUAGCUCAGGUGGUAGAGCACUUGACUUUUAAUCAAGGUGUCGAUGGUUCGAGUCCAUCACGGGACA